AAACGAUCCACAUAAACUAAAUGUGUACUACACAUGAACUGUAGUAUAGCAGUGUUCGUUUAUGCAAAGAGAAAUGAUCGUGCAUGGUUUGAUGUUGCCUUUAUGUUUGGAGCAAAGUGUCAUGGUGUUGUGAUUUGAAUUGCUUACAGACCGCUGCCACACAUAAGAAAUGGCUACCCGCUCUUUGAACCCCAUGGGAACCCGGUGUACGCCAGAGAGCUACUGAUAUACCCCUGUGAUCCAGAGAGCUGUGACAUCGUGUUUAAGAACAUCCUGGGAGAUACUAUUCUGAUUGAUGACCUGGACUCUGCAAAUAACUACAGAACGGCGGUGUUGCAGAACAGGAUCCAAUGUCCCACCAUACUGACCAGGCAGGGGGAUAGGGUCAGUAGCAGGGGAAAGUUUGGAGGUGCACAGAACAGGGCCCCACCGAUGACCACGUUACACAUGUUUGGAGCCCCCCUCCCACAGCAGUACCACAGUCUAAAGGAACAAAUAGACCUGCUCAGCCAGUACUGCUCAGCUGUAUCGAAGAGAGAGGAAACAGAAAGGGCGCGAGAUGAUCACGUUAAAAAAAUUACGUCUCCUGAUGUGCGGCAAAUGGAAAAAGAUUUGGACGACAAAAAGAGGCAGCUAACAGAGAUUGAAAAGGAACUCGCAUCAGCAUCAGCAAAAGGAAUGAAACGACGCGCUGUGGAUGGUGGUCAGCCCUCCAGCAGCAUUUCAAAAAGAGCAAGACAGAGUUCCACAUAAGAGAUUCUGAUUGGACCAAUGGAUUGUUUUACUAUAAGUCUUUUUUGUAGUUUUAUUUCUUUGUUAACUUUGAGUUGAUACAAUGUAUUUUAUCUUUUAGAUGCCUUUUGUACAUUUUAACACUUUUGUAAUGGUAAAAAGUGCUUAUGAUCUUUGCAGAGCAUGCUGAAUCUGCUGAAUGUAUGCAGUAAAAAAUUCUUAAGAUCUCACUUUGUGUAUUUGUUCGUUUCUUUUCUGAAAAACGCAAAACUGAAAACUUUACUUGUUAAGUUUAAGCAUACCGACAGUGUUAAGCGCACAUUUUACGCACGGAGAUAAUCACUGUGCCUUUGAAACAAAAUCAACCAUUAUCCCCGGCCCCGGAUAA